rnacentral:rRNA from 1 species
AGUGAACGCUGGCGGUAGGCCUAACACAUGCAAGUCGAACGGCAGCACAGUAAGAGCUUGCUCUUACGGGUGGCGAGUGGCGGACGGGUGAGGAAUACAUCGGAAUCUACUUUUUCGUGGGGGAUAACGUAGGGAAACUUACGCUAAUACCGCAUACGACCUACGGGUGAAAGCAGGGGAUCUUCGGACCUUGCGCGAUUGAAUGAGCCGAUGUCGGAUUAGCUAGUUGGCGGGGUAAAGGCCCACCAAGGCGACGAUCCGUAGCUGGUCUGAGAGGAUGAUCAGCCACACUGGAAUGGGGGCACGGUCCGGACUACUACGGGAGGCAGCAGUGGGGGAUAUUGGACAAUGGGAGCAAGGCUGAUCCAGCCAUACCGCGUGGGUGAAGAAGGCCGUCGGGUUGUAAAGCCCUUUUGUUGGGAAAGAAAAGCAGCAGGUUAAUACCCCGCUGUUCUGACGGUACCCAAAGAAUAAGCACCGGCUAACUUCGUG